rnacentral:rRNA from 1 species
AAGGAUCAUUAAAAGAUAUAGCAUAUUCUUCUGAAUAUACUUUAUUAACCCAUUCCGAGUACCUUACCCGUUGCUUCCGCGAGGCUGUCCUCACGGCCCUCUGAAGAUUUAUCUUUGGGGAGUCCUUGCGGAAGGUAUACAAUAAACUCUUGCAUUACCAUGUCAUCUGUCUGAAUCUGUUUAAAACAAAUAUUAAAACUUUCAACAACGGAUCUCUUGGUUCUCGCAUCGAUGAAGAACGCAGCGAAAUGCGAUAAGUAGUGUGAAUUGCAGAAACUAGUGAAUUAUUGAAUCUUUGAACGCACAUUGCGCCUCCUGGUAUUCCGGGAGGCAUGCCUGUUCGAGCGUCAUUAAAAACCACUCAAGCUCUUUUGCUUGGUCAUGGAAGAAGAGUUUGCUUGCAAUCUCCCUUCCGAAAUUCAAAGGCGGAAAGUCUCAGAGCCCCGGCGUAGUAAUAAUAUUUCGCUUGGAACUUGUGAUGAUCCUGCCCUUAACCCCCAAUUUUAUCUAGGUUGACCUCGGAUCAGGUAGGGAUACCCGCUGAACUUAAGCAUAUCAAUAAGCGGAGGAAAAGAAACCAACAGGGAUUGCCUUAGUAACUGCGAGUGAAGCGGCAAAAGCUCAAAUUUGAAAUCUGGCGUCUUCGACGUCCGAGUUGUAAUUUGGAGGGGCAUCUUCGGAAUUGGCGCCGUCCUAAGUUCCUUGGAACAGGACGUCAUAGAGGGUGAGAAUCUCGUGCCUGGAUGGCUGUCCAAUUCCAUGUGAAGUGUCUCCGACGAGUCGAGUUGUUUGGGAAUGCAGCUCAAAAUGGGUGGUAAAUUUCAUCUAAAGCUAAAUAUUGGCGAGAGACCGAUAGCGCACAAGUAGAGUGAUCGAAAGAUGAAAAGCACUUUGAAAAGAGAGUUAAAAAGUACGUGAAAUUGUUGAAAGGGAAGCGCUUGAGACCAGACUCAAUCUUAGGUGAUCAGCCGUGCUUCUGUACGGUGCACUUCCCUUUGAUUGGGCCAGCAUCAGUUCUGACGGUGGGAUAAAAUGCGGAGGAAUGUGGCUCUCUUCGGGGAGUGUUAUAGCCUCUGUAACAAUGCCGCCAGUUGGGA